UACGUAGGGUGCGAGCGUUGUCCGGAAUUACUGGGCGUAAAGAGCUCGUAGGCGGUUUGUCGCGUCGUCUGUGAAAUCCCGCAGCUCAACUGCGGGCUUGCAGGCGAUACGGGCAAACUUGAGUACUGCAGGGGAGACUGGAAUUCCUGGUGUAGCGGUGAAAUGCGCAGAUAUCAGGAGGAACACCGGUGGCGAAGGCGGGUCUCUGGGCAGUAACUGACGCUGAGGAGCGAAAGCGUGGGUAGCGAAC
rnacentral:rRNA from 1 species